GAACGCACAUUGCGCCCCGUGGUAUUCCGCGGGGCAUGCCUGUUCGAGCGUCAUUUCACCACUCAAGCCUCGCUUGGUAUUGGGCGCCGCGUGUCCCACGCGCGCCUCAAAGUCUUUCCGGCUGAGUCGUCCGUCUCCCAGCGUUGUGAUACAUUUUCGCUUCGGAGUGCGGGUGACCGCGGCCGUUAAAUCUUUUCAAAGGUUGACCUCGGAUCAGGUAGGGAUACCCGCUGAACUUAAG
rnacentral:misc_RNA from 1 species